GGCUGAGGGAGGGAGAGUCCUGCCUCCCCUUCUGGGUGGUGUGGGGGUGUUUUGUAUAUCGCGGUGGCCGGGGUGACCAUCCUGCCAGGAGCACAGGCAUGUGAUCCUCUCAGCAACCCAGUGAGUCAUGUAGCAUGACCCUCAUCUCACAAAUGAAGAAAAAGAAGCCCUAAGAGGUGCCUUUUGCUCAAGGUCACAGAGCUGACUGUCUUUGUAAUGGGAGAAGAUGCUCUAAGAACCCAGGAGCUAUGGUGAAAUCCUAAAGGCCAAUGUGAUGGUCUUGGAGGUACUUACACUUUCAAUAACCUGCAUAUGGAUUUCAACGCUAUUUAAUUAAGCCUUAAACCUAUAAAAAUGCACAUUUAAUACUCAAGUAAGCCCCUGACGUGUUCCCUCUGAAGAUAAACAGGUAGGAGGUUUCUGCAGUCAACCUAAAGCACACCUGAUUCUGGAGCAUGGGAGGGAAAUUAUGUCUGUUGUGGUCUGCAAAGGAGGCUGAGGUCUGAGGAAACAUCCAGGGUGUCCCACUAGGUCCCAUGCGUGCUCAUGGACUGGCCCCAAGUCCUCGUAAUAUCCAAGAGAUGUCAGUGCCCCUUCAGAGCCUCCAGAAGCUGCUCUGGCUGUGAACCUGUUCUCUUCCUCACUCCUCUUGCCUCAGUUCUCCUGAAAAGCAAGCAUGUUGCUGAGGGGCAGCCUAAUUGAGGUGGACUCAGAUGAAGAUCUACCUGGAAAGAGCCUAGAACUGAGAAUCUGGGGACCUGCCGUUUAGUCCUGGUGCUUUCCUAAACUCACCGUGCAACCUUGAACAAGUACUUUACUCUCUAGGCUUCUGUUUCAUCAUCUGUGAAACAAGGGAGCUAUGUCUUUGGGUCUCAGGUUCUGUGGAGCAAGGCCAAGGACAAGCAGUGGGGUGGGAAAUAGCUCCCUCACCUUUACUGAAAGGCAUAUUCCAGCCGUUCUUUAAGAAUGGUGUUGUACAAGCUAAUGAUGCCUGAUUCUGCGACUGUGCAACCUGGAAUUGGCAGUCAGGAGGUCUACACCCGGGAGAUACUGGGAAGCAGCGGAGACGUUAACUUGGAGAUAGCAAAGCUCUGAGCUUCCUUCAGAGGGGAGUGGAGAGGGGUCCUUCCGCAGAGGAGCCGCUGUCCCUGGAGCCUGUCAGAAUAGUUUAUUUAUAUAAAAUCAAACUCUGGUCUUUGGUCUUAGUGGUAAGGAACUUCCUCCCACAAAACAAGACAAAACAAAACAGAACAAAAACAAAACAAGGAUGUGGUGGUCUCCGUUUGAAGAAAUCAAGGUGAACUGGAGAAGUUUGAGGACCCUAGAGGGGAAAUAGGGGAGGUUGAGGAGUUAUCAAUAACUUAUUAACGUUAUUUAUAAGUUACCUUAUCAAUAAGGUAAAACGUGUCCAAUUAGAACAACACAAGUGACCAGAC
rnacentral:lncRNA from 1 species